GCCGACCCAAACACGGGCUGAAGCAUAACGGCUAGUUCUGCAGAUGUACUUUUUGUCCUUUCCAAGGUCAGUAACGGCUAGUUUUUCAAAUCUAACCAUUGGGGCUUGUCCAAAGGAUGUGGGAAGCUAUUUAAAGGGGCACUAUUCAUCAGAUAGAACAACUUUUGAAAGAGAUAUCAAAGAGUACACAAGAAAACAAAAGUGCCCUAAUCUUCUUCAUUCAAGUGCUUCAUUCAAGAAUCAAAGAAAGGGGUUGAGCAGAUUCAAAGAGUCAUCAAGAGCUCCAUCCUUUCUUGAAGAGUAAAGCAUCCUUGACAAAGAAGAGCAAAGCCACUUCAAAGCGAUAAAUACUUUCUAACUCUUCUUUGUAGUUAAUAUUGUUUCAUUUGCUCAUUUAGGAGUUUGAAUCUUUCUUUUUGUUUGUCAAACUAUUUGUAAAGGUUGGUUGGUGAGCCGGAAAACCAACGAAGUAGGUUGAUUGGUGAAUCCGGAAAAUCAAUUGUAAAGGUUCGUUGGUGAGCCCAUAAAACCAACAAAGGUUUUUGGUGAACCCGGAAAACCAAAUUGUAAAGGUUCG
rnacentral:lncRNA from 1 species